AUGCUCUGGUUUCUUUUUAGAAUGAAUAAAUCUUUUGCCUUUUACUAAAGAUUUUUGUGGGGAGGAGCAAUCGGGCCUCUUUGUUGAAAAAUACCUUGAGUUUAUUUGAUUUGGAAAGGC